CUACUAUUGUGAGGCUCAGAAUAAACAUGGAUCUCAGAGAUCAGCAUCUGUGUCUGUAACAUCUACAGGUGGCCAGAAAACCCUUCUGUAUGCAGUGGCUGGAAUCGGGGCGGCGCUCAUCAGCAUCUGUAUUAUUAUUGUAGUUAUAAAAAUCAGCAGCAGGAAAAUAGGAGACGCCGGCGGCCAAAGUGGCGUUUCAAAACAGGAAAACAACAGCACAGCCGUGACGGAUCAGACGAGCGUGAAACCUUCGAAAACAGCUGAUCCGAAUGACUUGGUGUAUGCCAGCGUCACCCACAGCAGACCCAGAGAACCCCAGAGAGCUGGAGAUGAAGACGAGUUUCAGUACGCCAGCGUCCAGCACCACAGAAACACCAGGUACACGACUGUGGAGGCCGGAUGUCAAUAUGGAAACACUGUUUCUGCCGGAUCAAAUGCUGAAAAGGCGGAUGAUUCCGAUGUGAUCUACAGCAGCAUCAAAGUUGCAUGAAGAAUCGGAGCAUCACUGAACAUGCUCCUCCAUUUUCCUACAUUGAAGUGGGCAUUAAAUAGAAGUUGCGACUAAAAAGCGAUUCCGCUUAACAAACAAGACUUUAUUGUAUACAUCGGAUAGGCCUACAUAUGGAUGGAUCGAGCACAGAAAGAUGCAUUAAGAAAAUAAAUAGGGUGAAUUUAAAUUUUUACUUUGUAUUGACGUUUGAGUUGAAAUGCGCUUGUGUGACCGUGUGCGGUGACUUUAAAUACACAACACUUGUGUGAGAAACAGGACGUGAAACUAUAAGAGCUGUGAGCAAGCAUAUGCAAAACUUCCAUUUCUGAAUGGAGGAGAGGUUUAAUUACGCUGAAUAAACUGCUUUUGUGAGGAGACUUACGCUUAACAUUUUAUAGUCGGCUAAUCUUUGCCAAAAAUGUUUUGUCAAAGCAAACAUGUUUAGCAUGUUCUCACACAAGUCUUUAACAAUAGUGAAUUGGAUGCUGUAUUUACUUCUUGCAUUGUCUGAAACUCUAUUCUUAUUUCUAAAGGUGAACUGACUUGUUGAGAAGAGGCGCAAACACUGAGAUAGAGGAAGGCUGGCGUUCAUUUUUGAUGUGAUAUUCAUUAAUAGUUCAGCAGUUUAGCAGCAGUUUAACUUCCCGUCAUGCUGCUGUUCUUAUCAUUUCUUAUCUGUGACCAUUCCUUCAUGUUUAUACUACGUUUAGAAGAGUUAAAAAUGUAUAGAAAGGAUUGA
rnacentral:lncRNA from 1 species